GAUGAACGCUAGCUACAGGCUUAACACAUGCAAGUCGAGGGGAAACGAUAUUGGAAGCUUGCUUCCGAUAGGCGUCGACCGGCGCACGGGUGAGUAACGCGUAUCCAACCUGCCCAUCACUUGGGAAUAACCUUGCGAAAGUAAGACUAAUGCCCAAUGACAUUUAUAGAAGGCAUCUGAAAUGAAUUAAAGAUUUAUCGGUGAUGGAUGGGGAUGCGUCUGAUUAGCUUGUUGGCGGGGUAACGGCCCACCAAGGCGACGAUCAGUAGGGGUUCUGAGAGGAAGGUCCCCCCACAUUGGAACUGAGACACGGUCCAAAACUCCUAACGGGAGGCAGCAGUGAGGAAUAUUGGUCAAUGGACGUAAGUCUGAACCAGCCAAGUAGCGUGCAGGAUGACGGCCCUAUGGGUUGUAAACUGCUUUUAUGCGGGGAUAAAGUUGGGGACGUGUCCCUUUUUGCAGGUACCGCAUGAAUAAGGACCGGCUAAUUCCGUGCCAGCAGCCGC
rnacentral:rRNA from 1 species